AACGUACGCUGGCGGCACGCCUAACACAUGCAAGUCGAACGAAGUAGCAAUACUUAGUGGCAGACGGGUGAGUAACAUGUGGGUAUCUGCCCUUUGGCCUGGAAUAACACGAGGAAACUUGUGCUAAUACCGGAUAAGUCUUUACGGAGAAAGCUUUAUGCACCAUUGGAUGAGCCCGCACUUGAUUAGUUUGUUGGUGGGGUAAUGGCCUACCAAGACUGUGAUCAAUAGCUGAUUUGAGAGGAUGAUCAGCCACAUUGGGACUGAGACACGGCCCAAACUCCUACGGGAGGCAGCAGUGGGGAAUCUUGCACAAUGGAGGAAACUCUGAUGCAGCGAUGCCGCGUGAGUGAAGAAGGCCCUUGGGUUGUAAAGCUCUUUCGUCGGGGAAGAAAAUGACUGUACCCGAAUAAGAAGGUCCGGCUAACUUCGUGCCAGCAGCCGCGGUAAUACGAAGGGACCUAGCGUAGUUCGGAAUUACUGGGCUUAAAGAGUUCGUAGGUGGUUGAAAAAGUUAGUGGUGAAAUCCCAGAGCUUAACUCUGGAACUGCCAUUAAAACUUUUCAGCUAGAGUAUGAUAGAGGAAAGCAGAAUUUCUAGUGUAGAGGUGAAAUUCGUAGAUAUUAGAAAGAAUACCAAUUGCGAAGGCAGCUUUCUGGAUCAUUACUGACACUGAGGAACGAAAGCAUGGGUAGCGAAGAGGAUUAGAUACCCUCGUAGUCCAUGCCGUAAACGAUGUGUGUUAGACGUUGGAAAUUUAUUUUCAGUGUCGCAGCGAAAGCGAUAAACACACCGCCUGGGGAGUACGACCGCAAGGUUAAAACUCAAAUGAAUUGACGGGGACCCGCACAAGUAGUGGAGCAUGUGGUUUAAUUCGAAGAUACGCGCAGAACCUUACCAACACUUGACAUGUUCGUCGCGACUCUAAGAGAUUAGAGUUUUCGGUUCGGCCGGACGAAACACAGGUGCUGCAUGGCUGUCGUCAGCUCGUGUCGUGAGAUGUUGGGUUAAGUCCCGCAACGAGCGCAACCCUCACUUUUAGUUGCCAUCAUUAAGUUGGGCACUCUGAAAGAACUGCCAGUGAUAAGCUGGAGGAAGGUGGGGAUGACGUCAAGUCCUCAUGGCCCUUACGUGUUGGGCUACACACGUGCUACAAUGGUAUCUACAACAGGAAGCAAGACUGCGAGGUCAAGCAAAUCCUUAAAAGAUACCUCAGUUCGGAUUGCACUCUGCAACUCGAGUGCAUGAAGCUGGAAUUACUAGUAAUCGUGGAUCAGCGUGCCACGGUGAAAUGCGUUCCCGGGUCU
rnacentral:rRNA from 1 species